rnacentral:rRNA from 1 species
UGACGGUAACUUACCAGAAAGGGACGGCUAACUACGUGCCAGCAGCCGCGGUAAUACGUAGGUCCCGGGCGUUGUCCGGAUUUAUUGGGCGUAAAGCGAGCGCAGGCGGUUUAAUAAGUCUGAAGUUAAAGGCAGUGGCUUAACCAUUGUUCGCUUUGGAAACUGUUAGACUUGAGUGCAGAAGGGGAGAGUGGAAUUCCAUGUGUAGCGGUGAAAUGCGUAGAUAUAUGGAGGAACACCGGUGGCGAAAGCGGCUCUCUGGUCUGUAACUGACGCUGAGGCUCGAAAGCGUGGGGAGCAAACAGGAUUAGAUACCCUG